CUUAAUACUAUUCUAUCUACUUUUAAGACUUGCUAGAAAACUUUCAUUAUAAAAAUGACCCAUAAAUUCAUUAUCCAGAUUUCAUUACUACGAACAUUUUUGUGUGGUUCCAUAUAAUCUUUUCCAUAUUAGUGUUUUAUUUUCGAAAUGCUGCUACAUUCAGUGAGUACUUGUUUCAUUACCUGAUAAAACUUGACAACGUUUGUUUUCACCUGCUGGCCCUUAAAAAGAAGGGAAUAAUCCGAACUUUUGUUAGGGAUAGGGUUUAAAUCCCAAAAUGAAAAUAAAUGAAAAAUGCCUAGAAUACUAAAGUGUUGCAGUGUUGUAACCACCUAGCCCAGUGCCUAGUACUCAGUAAAUAAAUGGAACCUCAGUAAAUGAGCAGAAUUCAGACAUGAUGUGUUAUCAUCAUGACCUCAUAUAUUAGGAAUUUUGACCUCAUAUAUUAGGAAUUCCAGAGUGAAUCCACAUCAUCCUGAGUUGAGACAGAGGUUGCUUUACUUCCUGAGUAGCUUUUGAAUCUUGAGUUUUACAUCAUGGAUGUAGCUAUAGAUUCUCUCACUGCCCCUUUCAUGAAUGGAAGGCUGGCCGUUUUGGGGGGUGAAGGGGAAACUUAUGUCAUUAUCAACUUGUUUGCUUCCUUGCCAAGCCAAGAUCUCCUUCAGGAACCAUAUCUGAGUCACUGGAAAAGCAGAAAAAAGCACCCCAUGUUCACAGAAGAAAAUGUGGUGUUCAGUCACAGGAAGUAAGGGUAUUGAAAGGAAAAUGAAACUAGCAAGAAAGAUAUCUCGUGAUGGUAUAAAAGAGAAAUGAUUCUGUGACAACUCUAACUUAAUUACUCAGCAUUUGAGUGAAAGAACAAUCUCUGAAGUGGGGAGGAAACAGUGGAAUGUGUGGGUUGGGGGGGGAGAGGGCUGUGCCAACAUUGCCAUCAACACAUUAAUUCACAUUACACUAGCUUUCAAGGACAAGCUCCAGAAUCCUAUUCAAAAGUCGAUGCCACCAAAUACGAGAGGAAAUGUGCUCUCAGCCUAGCUGCAUUUUCAGCUUUUUAUACCUAUAACCUGACAGAUUUCAUCGAAGACUAAAUAUAAAGACUAUAUAAAGACUGGAUGUGAAGAAAGAUGUAGACAGAGAGGAGAGAAUGAGGGAGAGCGAGAGCAGGAG
rnacentral:lncRNA from 1 species